AUAGGUUUAAGUUAAGUAAAACUAUUUAUUUUCAAAAUAAAAAAUAUUGUUAGGGUAACUUAUG
rnacentral:tRNA from 1 species